GGUAUAUUUGACUACAUUUUGAAAGGAAAAAGGUAGUCCUGCUAAAAUUGACAUUUAGGGAUAUUUUAAUCUAUGUAUUUGGUAAAGUAAUUAGUGAAGUAUUAGUUAUAAAAAUUUUAAGGAAAACAUUUAAAAGCACAAUAGUCAUAUCAGAUAGAGUAGAAUAUACCAAAGAUAAAACAAGUCUCUGUUACAAAUGAAGUUGUCUGUACAGACAACUGAGAUAUUUUAAUUUUAUUUACAUAAAAAUGCUGUUCAAUAUCUAAUGAUUUCUGUUGUUUGUAUUCUGUACUUUAGAGUAGUAAAAUUAGUUUGAGUAUCUCUUUAGUUCACUUUCAAAAUUGAUCAUUUCAGGACACCGCUGAACAUAACGGAAGGUUUGGGAAAAUAGGUUUGUGUCACAGCCCCUAUGAAAUUAUCAGCCUAGAUGAGGAGCCAUCGCCUGUGUACAGAACUCUUAACAAUCCAUCCACAUGCUGUGAAAUGACAUCAAUUUGGGUGCAUUUUAAACCCUGAGAUUACAGGAGUCUGCAACUACAUUCUAAACUGAGUUCACACUGUUAUUUAUUUCUACCUUCUCAAUCAUUCCUCCAAAUUAAGAUUUACUUAAAAGUUUGAUUUGCUACUUAAACGAAAAUUUGAUACAGUGUUUUCCUCCUUUUACUCCCAGAGCAUCAUGUAUUGGCCUUUUGUAGAAACCAAUCCCUUCAUUACUAUAAUUCUUCUGUUGUUCCACAGUUCUUAGCCCCAAACUACUUUUGGUGAGCUAGGAUGGAAUGAAUGACACUGUUUAGUCAAUAUAUAUUGACAACAAAAAUACAUUGAUAGCUUUGAGCUAGGCACAGAUUGAGGUAAGGGUGCUGGGUAUAGAAAAGGCAUACAAACAACCACAGUACAAUUUCCCAAAAUGGUUAUGUAUCAAGACAUUUAGGUUUCUUUACUGCUGAACUUCAGGGACUUUAAAAGGCUAAUGGACAGACACUGUGAAGGUGAGUUAAGAUUUGUACUGUUUGCCAGACUUCUGUGAAUACCUAUCAACUUCUAUUAGAAAUUAGUUUUUCAGAGCACAGUUUGGAAAAUGCCACUAACAGCAUUGUAGGAUGUAUCAUGAAAAGUAUUCACUAAGGUCACUUUUAACCUUCUCAUUAAAGAUUAUGCAUUGUAAUUUUGUUUCUUUUAAAGUAUUUUUUAUUUAUUAAGAGGAAUCCUUGGAAGUUACUAAUAUUUUGGUGAUGUGAUUUUAAAAAUAUUUUUGAGCGUGAUUACUUUUUAUUUUGACCCAUAAUUUCUAAGUCCAUUUUUUAUUAAUGUAUUAUAGUUUUAGAACAUUCAUUUACUUCUAGUAUCAUAAAAUUCUGUGAAAUACAACUCGUAGUCUAGUAAUUGGGAAUACCUUAAGGGCCUGCUGUUCCAGUUGAUGAUUUUAAUUUGAAUAUUUGUAUGUAGGAUUUAACUGUCAAGUGCUUUAAUUAAUAUUUACAUGUUGUGCUGGUCCAUAAACUAUUUUAACCAUCCAUUAUAUAGUAAUAGAAAAAAGUAGAAAUUUUAGAUUAACUUCUGAUAAGUGACUAUUUUAAAAAUGUUUAUGUAACUUUUGUAAAAAAGUAUAGUAAAAAUUCACUGCUAGCAUCUGUUUUGCUGAAGUCUGAGAAUGAAGGAAAAGGGGUAGUUUAUCAUGAGAAUCAUUUCUUUACAAAUAAAUACUUUAAAUGUGAACCCUAUUAUAUGUAUAGUCAUACAUAUGUAUACAUACAUGUAUAUAUACACACCUACAUAUACUUAUUUCAGCUUCUCCAGUAAAUAUAUGCUAAUUUUGUUAAACUUUUUUUUUUAGUGGGAAGUUAUAUUUCUGCAACGCUUUCUAUAGCAUAUUUAUAAAUUGCUGCUAAGAUUACAACAACCAAGGCAAGAGAAUUGUUAAUACUAACAUAAAUUCUGACACACCAUUCUUCUUACUUGAUAUGUUUUUUGCUGACAGAUACCCCAAAUAGAGUCAAUAUUGUUGAAGCCCUAGUAACUUCAUUUGAAAGUCAUAAAAAUAACUCCAUCCAGUAAAAUCUAAAAUAAAUGUUCUUAAGUCCUAAUAAUCAGAAAUAUUUGUCAAAUUGAAAGAAUUUACAAGAUGUGUCCCUAUUAUAUGUUAUCUUCACUGUCAGCAGGGUAUGUCUGGACAUGUGCACAGAAAAGAGAAACACGUAGAUUGCGGACUGUUCUGCCUUUGUCUUUCAAAGUGCCUUCCGCUUUACGAUCUAUAUACACUCCUUGCAAAAUCAAGAGUCUUUUUCAUUUCCUGCUCUAGGUGCAUCCAUUUUACCAGGGCCUAGAGUAUGAUUGGAGAGUGCUCCUGGAGCAUCAUCAGGCCACGUUCCUCAGUGCCUUCAGCCCUUAUAAACCUGUGUAGCAAGCCACUAGCUUCAGUUCUCCAUCACCUUAAGUCUCCCCUCAUAAACAUCUGGGCGAUUAAAAAAAUAUUUUAAACAUUAAAAUACCAAGUGUCAAAGAAGGGGAAUUUCUUAAGCCUAGUGGUACACUGAUAAGUGGUUAGCUACCAACUCUUGGGAGAAAAAAAAGCUCCAAUUUGUAGUGCUUCCCAAUUUUUGUCAUGUAAUACUCCCAUCUGGCUGAUUUCAAGCUAUCAAUGUGAAGUCACUUAAUGCUGAGUUGGAAUGAGACACACAUACUUUGCUCUUUUGAGAUGAUAUGAACUGGCUCCAGGUCCCCUCUGCCAGAUAAAGUUAUUAAACAUUGAUCCCAUAAUUUCUGAAAAAUAGUCAUAAUAAGCUAUAGCAUUACGUGUAGUUAAAUGAUCCUUCAAAAUCUAUGAAAUUCCUAUUUGCCAUCAAAUACAUUACAAGAAUAAAAUUAAAAGAAAUGUUCUAAACAAUAAUAAUCUAGGAAAAUUAAGCAUAUAAAAGCUUUGAAAAAUUUUAUAAGCAAAUUAUUUUGCUGAUGUAAAUCUGACAUAAAUCAUAUAAAUUGAUAAAAGCAUUGUGUGUUUAUGGGAUUAUAAUUUUUUUAAAGAGUUUCCCUGUAUUUCCAUGGCUUUGAAAAUUAUAUCCCCAGAUAAAUUGUGGCAUUUCCUUUGUGCAUGUUGGUGCAAUUUUACAUUAUGAAAUUGUCGUGUAGAUUCAUUACACCUAUUUUCCAAACAAAAAUGACCAUAAUUCAGAUAUGAACCUAUCAUAUACCAAGCUCUAAACCGUAUAAAAACAUUCUAUCACUAAUGUAUUUGCAGGCACAUUAAUAAGAUAUUUACCCAUUUUGUAACAAAGAUUCUUGGUCAGAAAACCUCGGAAUUUUUACUUUUGAUAAUCUGUCUGUUUCAGGUACCAGACUUGAUCCAGAUUUGGGAGCUUGUAUGUAUUAGCUUUUAUUAGAGUACAAUGGGUAACAGACUACCUCCAUUGUUUCAGUAGCUUUCAACAACAUGUAUUUUUCAUUGUGUGGCUUGUUGGCUGCUGUGGGUUAAUUGCUGUGGCUGCACUUCAGGAUGUGAUUCAGGUUCAGGUUUACUCUAUUCAGGCCCCAGGCUGAAAGAGAAGGCCCUACCUGGGAUAUGCCCUUCUAGUGGCAGAGGGCAUUAAAGCAAGAGAACUGGCAGCAUUGUGAAAUGCACUGAAAAGUUCAUCAAGUCUGUUUGCAUUGUGUUGACCAAGCAAGUCACGUGGCUAAACCCAGUCAUUGGUCAGCAAAGCUGCUCUUCCUAUAGGGAACCAUUGUAAGUCACAUCCAAAGGUUUUGGGAACAAAUAAUUCUGAAUAAUAAUACCCGAGGUACUACAGUGUACUACAGAUAUUUCAGCUCUUUAAGUAGCCAAAAUAUCUCAAUAUAAAACAAAAUAAGAUCUUAAUUUUUUAAAAAGAAGUAUAAUAUUGAAUACACUGGUUUAGGUUCAGAAUUUUUAGAAAGAUCCUCACUCUUUUUAAGAUUUUACCCAAAUAAUCACCUAAUUCCAUGGGAAAUAAAAAAUAGGAUAAACUAAUAGAAAUAUUUCCGAAACGAGUCGUGAGGAAUCCAUAAUCAACUGUGCUACCUUUUGACUAUUUAACUUUGAGUCUCAACUUCCUCAUCUGUAAACUAAGCAAGUUGUUCUAAAAGGUUCCUAAGGUCGUUCUCAGUGUAAAGGUCUCAUUCUAAUGCUUUUUUAUUGUCACCUAAUUAACAAAGCAUAUCCUGCAAUUUUUAUUAUAGUUUAACUCAGUUUUUUUUAGAAGUAUGGCAGAGCAGUAAAACUUUAAUUUUCUUUUAUUUGUAUCCCUCUAUUCAAAAAUGGAUUUGAGAUAAAGUAAUAGGAUAUGAUCUUCCUUGUUUUUACUUAGUAUUCAAGUAGCGGAACCUAGCUUUAAAAUAGUCAAGUCACUAAAAUUCUCUUGCUUUACCAUAGAGUCACUGAUUUAAACAUGUAUAUGUAAGAAUCAUCUGGAAGCUUGUUUAAAAUGUAAAUUUCGAGUCCACAAACCCCUGGAGAUUCUGAUACUACAAGGCCAGAAAACUACAUUUUUAACAAGUACCCCAGGUUUCCGAAGUAACCUAAGCAGUACAAACCCUAUAAAUUAUUUUGGUGAUAAUAGGGAAAAAAAAACCUUUCACAUGCUGGGAUACUACAUACUUAGUAUAAUAAUUUAAAAUUAAUUAUUAAUACCAUGUGUCUCAUUAUUUGGUGUUUGUAUUUUAUCUUUAUGAAUUAAUUUUUGUCACUACAUUUAGUGUAUUGGACUAUACACUAGUCCAAUGCUAUAAAUUGUCACUGUAAGUGAUGGUAUUAUUUUCAUAUAUAAAGUUUAGAAAUGUAGAAACCAAAAUACCUUAAUGUUCCUUUGAAAUGAAAGUGCUUUGAUUAGUAUUAGCAUUCCCCAGAAACAUACAGGGUAGGUCAAUCUCAGAAUGAAAUACUAUGAAAUGAGAACUACUGUUGAAUUAGUGCAUCCAAUCUCUUUGCUUCUUCCUUGUUUCCUUACAAUCUAGUCCUCCUUUUAAAACAUAGUCAGAUAAUGUCAUUUCUGUGCCUAAAACCCUUCAGAAUAAAAACCAAAGCCCUUUAUCUUUGCUACCUUUGAAACCUUACGUCCCCAGCUCCUUCCCCUACUCCCAUCCCCACCCCCAGCUCUCUGCACCCUGCUCCUUGCUGAAAUACUCCACUUAAAGUGCUCUUCCCUAUGUAUCUUCAGCCCUCCAGGUCUCACUUUCUUCAGGUCUCUGCUCAAAUAUUGCCUAUGCACAGAGGCCUUUAUUGACCACCCAAACUAAAACAGCAUAUUCCCCUCUCCUCAUCAAUCGUUAGCCCUUAUAACUUGCUAUAGUUUUAUUUAUAGCACUUUUGACUAUUUGACAUGUAUUCAUUUGUAUCCACUCUAUAAUUUUAAGUUCUUCAAGCACAAGUACUUUGUCUUGGCACUGCUAUAUUGCUAGGACUUACAAUAGUAUCUGGCACAUAGUAGGUGCUCAGUAAAUAAUUGUUUGACAAAUACUGGUGAUUACCCACAGCUUGGCCUGUCUCCAGUAUAAGGCAAGGCUAUUAAAAUCCAAGUUUAAUAAAGUAGGCAAUGUUUUUAAAGGCAGUUUUAUUUUCUCUUAAUUUCCCAUCUAUUUGAAAGUCAUUUUAAUUUAAAAUACUUUCAGAAUUAUCAUCCCUUUUGCAAACUCUGUUCUUCCCAUCUUUUUCUUGUCUGUUUUGCAGAUAUAUGAGAUAAUUUAUUUUGAAUUAUGGCAAUUGAAAGUUGAUGUUUAAUUUCAACAGGAUUUAAUUACUUAAUUGAAAUAUGAAACUCCAACUGUGAAUUCAAUGUUGGGGAAAGCACCAGAUUUACCUUCCCAUAAGCACUUGACUUUCAUAGGAUACAUAUAUGGGAAAGGUGUAUGAAUGGCUAAUAACAUUCAGAAUUUCCUCUGAAAACUAGAAAUCUUGAUUAAAAAACUGACUAAAAGAAUAAUUUGGCCAGGUGCAGUGGCUCAUGCCUGUAAUCCCAGCACUUUGGGAGCCUGAGGGGGGCAGAUCGCUUGAGCCCAGGAGUUCAAGACCUGGCUGGGCAACAUGGUGAAACCCUGUCUGUACAAAAAAAUACAAAAAUUAGCUGGGCAUGAUGGCACACACCUGUGAUCUCAGCUAUUUGGGAGGCUGAGAUGGGAGGAUGGCUUGAGCCAGGAGGCAGAACUUGCAGUGAGAUCACACCACUGCAUUCAAGCCUGGGUGACAGAGCGAGACCCUGUCUCAAAAAAAAAAAAAAAA
ensembl:lncRNA